rnacentral:lncRNA from 1 species
AUGCGGCGAGCUGCCCUCCCCCUGCCAGAUGUGAGCCCAGCGGAGCGCGGUCGGUCGGCGUUAACCAUGUGUGCACCCAGCGCCUGCCAGCUCCGGGCCUGCGGCCGCAGCCGUUACUGGCCUGAGAUCAGGGAAGGCGGGUUUCGUGUGCCAGAAAGUGGCUCCAGAUGUUGGAGACAGGCGCCAAGGGGAGGCUCCCUGGAGGACGCAGCCUCUGCUCCGGGGCAGGAGCCUGCCCGCGCCGGGGGAGCCACUGGAGCCUGCCACCCCCCGACCAGGGCUGGUAUUUUCAUGGAUGCCCGCACAGCUGGUGCCUGCCUGCCUGCCGGCCGUGGAAAUGCAUCCCGCGCUGCAGUGCUGGGGCAGGAUCUGUGCCAGCUCCCUCCAGCCCCUCCUGAGGUGAUGUGGGGUCAGCGGGGCACAUCUGAGCCAGCGGUGCAGGAUGGCAGCAGGGGCUGCAACCUGCUCCUCCCCGAAAGGACGACUUGUGCCCUGGGGCUCAGGGGGAGAUGCUCAAAGCAGGGCCCUGCGCGCGGUGCGGGACGGCCUGGGGUGCUCUUGGUUGCUGGCCCGUGUCCCCAGGGCAGCCCACGGCCCCUCUGCGCACAGCGAGGCUUGCGUGGGCCAGGGUGGGUGCGUCGGCGGCCGUCCCUCUCGCCUGGCUCCAGCCCCACGGCCCCGGAGCAGAGUCCCUCGCCGCCUCCCUACCUGGCUCUGCUCCGCGCUGGAUCCCGGCUGCAGCCCGGGGUCGGUGCAGAGCGGCGGGAACGCGGGUGCCGAGGCGCUGCGCUCCCGCUCCCGCUCCCGCCUAAUUCCUUCGCCCGCCGCGGGCGCCGAGGCAAGCGGCUGGGUGGGGGAGCCGCGGCGGGAGGAGCCGGCCCGACACGCGGCGUCUUGCCCACCGGGGCGCCGGAGACGAGCGUGGGAGCCGGGGCGGGCUGUGCCCGCAGCCGCUGUCCUGGUGGGAGGGAGCCGGGAACAUCCCCUCCGGCGAGGGAGCGCAACCCUCCGCGUGCCCUGCAGCGGGGCUUGGGAGGGGGCCGAGCCCCCCGGGCAGCUGGGGGGUCCGAGCGGCUCCACGGAGCCAGGACCUCCCCGAACACGGCUGAGCCCCUCCAGGGCCACGCGACCCCCCCCCCAGCCGGGCUCCACCAGCCCCUCGGACAACGGGCUGCACGCGCGAAGGGGGUCGGCGUGGGGCUGGAGCCCCCCUGGAGCACAACCGGGGGCUCUGGCGGCGCAGAGCAGCUCCCUGGGGGCUCCGGGCCGGGGGUGCCCCCAGCCGCCCCCCGGCACCCGCGAUGGGGCCAGGCCUGGACAACAGGGGGGCGGCGGCUGCCCCGACGGGAUGCACCGCCAGGCGGCUCAGGGCCAGCACGGCCGGCGGGGGCAGGAGGCUCCACCAGGCCCAAGCGGGCAGGCAGUGGCAGCGCGGGCGGACUGCAGCCCCCAGCAGGCCCCGCGGCUGGGCGGGCGGGGGCGGAGUGGGCGGGGGCGGAGCGAGGGCUGCUGGGAGUUGUAGUUCCAAACCCCCGGCCGCGCGCGCGGAGGUGUUUUGGUCCGUGCCGGGAGCCGUGGGGGCGCGCGGUGCAUGCUGGGAGCGGUAGUCCGUGCUGGCGGCUGCGCGCGGCGGCGGCGGCGGCGGGGGAGGCCGGCGUGAGCGCUCGGUCGGCGCCGCGGUGA